rnacentral:rRNA from 1 species
CGUUAAUCGGAAUUACUGGGCGUAAAGCGUGCGCAGGCGGCUUUGCAAGACAGAUGUGAAAUCCCCGGGCUUAACCUGGGAACUGCAUUUGUGACUGCAUGGCUGGAGUGCGGCAGAGGGGGAUGGAAUUCCGCGUGUAGCAGUGAAAUGCGUAGAUAUGCGGAGGAACACCGAUGGCGAAGGCAAUCCCCUGGGCCUGCACUGACGCUCAUGCACGAAAGCGUGGGGAGCAAACAGG